AUUGAACGCUGGCGGCAGGCCUAACACAUGCAAGUCGAGCGAGCGGCGGACGGGUGAGUAAUGUAUGGGGACUGCCCGAUCGAGGGGGAUAACUACUGGAAACGGUGGCUACUACCGCUUACUAUCGGAUAACCCAUAUGGGAUUAGCUAGUAGGUGGGGUAAAGGCUCACCUAGGCGACGAUCUCUAGCUGGUCUGAGAGGCUGAUCAGCCACACUGGGACUGAGACACGGCCCAGACUCCUACGGAGGCAGCAGUGGGGAAUAUUGGGCAAUGGGCGAAAGCCUGAUGGAGCCAUGCCGCGUGAAUGAAGAAGGCUUUAGGGUUGUAAAGCACUUUCGGCAGGGAGGCGUUACCCGCACAAGAAGCCCCGGCUAACUCCGUGCCAGCAGCCGCGGUAAUUC
rnacentral:rRNA from 1 species